rnacentral:rRNA from 1 species
CCUACGGGAGGCAGCAGUGGGGAAUAUUGGACAAUGGGGGCAACCCUGAUCCAGCCAUGCCGCGUGUGUGAAGAAGGCCCUCGGGUUGUAAAGCACUUUCAGUGAGGAAGAACGCCUGGUGGUUAAUACCCAUCAGGAAAGACAUCACUCACAGAAGAAGCACCGGCUAACUCCGUGCCAGCAGCCGCGGUAAUACGGAGGGUGCGAGCGUUAAUCGGAAUUACUGGGCGUAAAGCGCGCGUAGGUGGCUUGAUAAGCCGGUUGUGAAAGCCCCGGGCUCAACCUGGGAACGGCAUCCGGAACUGUCAAGCUAUAGUGCAGGAGAGGAAGGUAGAAUUCCCGGUGUAGCGGUGAAAUGCGUAGAGAUCGGGAGGAAUACCAGUGGCGAAGGCGGCCUUCUGGACUGACACUGACACUGAGGUGCGAAAGCGUGGGUAGCAAACAGGAUUAGAUACCCCAGUAGUC